rnacentral:rRNA from 1 species
AAGAGGAGAGGAUGGCCAAAUCGCGACAAAUGUUCACUCUGCAGUCAGGUGCAAGAAUAUGCAGCACACCUGCUCUUCAAGUGCCGCUUCUCUGUUCGGAUUUGGAAUGUUGUCUUCUCACGGCUUGGGCUUGUUAUCCCCACGACCCCGUGGCUUCUCUUCGAUUCGUUGAAAUCUUGGUGGGAUGCGGUCCUCUCUGAUAAAGCACACCCGACGAAGGCCCUGUCUUCUCUGUUACUACUUGUGGGAUGGGAGAUCUAGAAUGAAAAGAAUGCUCGUGUCUUCAGGAAUAAAGCGGCGCCGGUGGUGACUGUCAUGCGACGCGUCAAAGAGGAAGUUUCUAUUUGGGCCACUGUGGGCGCUAAGCAUUUGCACAAUAUAAUGCCGCGAAAGUAA